AUCCAUAUGACGAGUCCCGAAUAGGACGAAAUGCGCAUUAACAUGGAU
rnacentral:hammerhead_ribozyme from 1 species